rnacentral:rRNA from 1 species
AUUGAACGCUGGCGGCAUGCUUUACACAUGCAAGUCGAACGGUAACAGGCCGCAAGGUGCUGACGAGUGGCGAACGGGUGAGUAAUGCAUCGGAACGUGCCCAGUCGUGGGGGAUAACGCAGCGAAAGCUGUGCUAAUACCGCAUACGAUCUAUGGAUGAAAGCGGGGGACCGUAAGGCCUCACGCGAUUGGAGCGGCCGAUGUCAGAUUAGGUAGUUGGUGGGGUAAAGGCCUACCAAGCCGACGAUCUGUAGCUGGUCUGAGAGGACGACCAGCCACACUGGGACUGAGACACGGCCCAGACUCCUACGGGAGGCAGCAGUGGGGAAUUUUGGACAAUGGGCGCAAGCCUGAUCCAGCAAUGCCGCGUGCAGGAAGAAGGCCUUCGGGUUGUAAACUGCUUUUGUACGGAACGAAACGGCCUGGGUUAAUACCCUGGGCUAAUGACGGUACCGUAAGAAUAAGCACCGGCUAACUACGUGCCAGCAGCCGCCGUAAUAC